CAAAGUGCGCAUGUUCCAAGCAUGAUGGUGAAAAGAGAUGGCGGAGGAUGAAGAAGAUGACCCGGUCGUUGCGGAGGUGGACGUUUAUUUGGCCCAGACUUUGGCCAACAAGCUCUACUUGUUUCAGUACCCAGUACGUCCUGGUGAUAUACCUUAUGACAAUAUACCUCAUA